GAAAUAUGGAAUCAUCAAAUAAAAGCUGCUAACUUUAAUUUAAAUGACUAAUAUCAUUUAUAUUUCU
rnacentral:tRNA from 1 species